rnacentral:lncRNA from 1 species
CCCACUAACUGUCUCCCUUAUCUCCCUUUGCUUCCAAAUCCAGACAGCACGAUGAGAAAUCUGGCAAUGCCAGAGUGCCACUUGGGCACCAGCUGCUGCAGGCCUACAGCAGCAGACACUGCUCCAGAGGGCCAACAGGGCCACUGUCGCUGCUGCGAGGAGCUUGGCACAGAAGAACAUCCCUGGAGCAGCGAGCUAAAUGCAUUGAGAUGUUUGGAGAUGUCCUCAGCCAUCUUCAGCCUGAAGCACCACUGAGACCCGCAGCUGCUGCAGAACACAAUGAAGCUACCAGAGAUGCUAAUGGAGGAGCUGAAGGGUUCAUAGGCAGAAAGCAAGGGGUGUGCUGUGGAGCCUACAACCAUGGAUUGCAGGAAUGCCUUUCUUAAAGCCAACAGA